rnacentral:rRNA from 1 species
AAUCAACGCUGGCGGCGUGCCUCAGACAUGCAAGUCGAACGCGAAAGUUUCCUUCGGGAGACAAGUAGAGUGGCGCACGGGUGAGUAACACGUAGGUAAUCUACCUUUGGAUGGGGAAUAACAACCGGAAACGGUUGCUAAUACCGCAUAAUGCAGCGGCACCUAAUGGUGACAGUUGUUAAAGCGGGGAUCGAAGACCUCGCGUCUAAAGAGGAGCCUGCGGCGGAUUAGCAGUUGGUAAGGUAAUGGCUUACCAAGGCUACGAUCCGUAACCGGCCUGAGAGGGCGGUCGGUCACACCGACACUGACAUACGGGUCAGACUCCUACGGGAGGCAGCAGUCGGGAAUUUUGGG